AGAGUUUGAUCCUGGCUCAGGAUGAACGCUAGCGACAGGCCUAACACAUGCAAGUCGAGGGGCAGCGGGGAGGUAGCAAUACCUUUGCCGGCGACCGGCGCACGGGUGAGUAACACGUAUGCAAUCCACCUGUAACAGGGGGAUAACCCGGAGAAAUCCGGACUAAUACCCCAUGAUAUGGGCUCUCCGCAUGGAGGGUCCAUUAAAGAGAGCAAUCUUGGUUACAGACGAGCAUGCGCUCCAUUAGCCAGUUGGCGGGGUAACGGCCCACCAAGGCGACGAUGGAUAGGGGUUCUGAGAGGAAGGUCCCCCACAUUGGAACUGAGACACGGUCCAAACUCCUACGGGAGGCAGCAGUGAGGAAUAUUGGUCAAUGGUCGGCAGACUGAACCAGCCAAGUCGCGUGAGGGAAGACGGCCCUACGGGUUGUAAACCUCUUUUGUCGGAGAGUAAAGUGCGCUACGCGUAGCGCAUUGCAAGUAUCCGAAGAAAAAGCAUCGGCUAACUCCGUGCCAGCAGCCGCGGUAAUACGGAGGAUGCAAGCGUUAUCCGGAUUUAUUGGGUUUAAAGGGUGCGUAGGCGGCACGCCAAGUCAGCGGUGAAAUUUCCGGGCUCAACCCGGACUGUGCCGUUGAAACUGGCGAGCUAGAGUGCACAAGAGGCAGGCGGAAUGCGUGGUGUAGCGGUGAAAUGCAUAGAUAUCACGCAGAACCCCGAUUGCGAAGGCAGCCUGCUAGGGUGCGACAGACGCUGAGGCACGAAAGCGUGGGUAUCGAACAGGAUUAGAUACCCUGGUAGUCCACGCAGUAAACGAUGAAUACUAACUGUUUGCGAUACAAUGUAAGCGGUACAGCGAAAGCGUUAAGUAUUCCACCUGGGGAGUACGCCGGCAACGGUGAAACUCAAAGGAAUUGACGGGGGCCC
rnacentral:rRNA from 1 species